rnacentral:rRNA from 1 species
AGCGAACGCUGGCGGCAGGCCUAACACAUGCAAGUCGAGCGCGAAAAUUCCUUCGGGGAUGAGUAGAGCGGCGGACGGGUGAGUAACGCGUAGGAAUCUGCCCGGUAGUGGGGGACAACAGUCGGAAACGACUGCUAAUACCGCAUACGCCCUAAGGGGGAAAGCAGGGGAUCUUCGGACCUUGCGCUAUCGGAUGAGCCUGCGUCGGAUUAGCUUGUUGGUGGGGUAAUGGCCUACCAAGGCGACGAUCCGUAGCUGGUCUGAGAGGAUGAUCAGCCACACUGGGACUGAGACACGGCCCAGACUCCUACGGGAGGCAGCAGUGGGGAAUAUUGGACAAUGGGGGGAACCCUGAUCCAGCAAUGCCGCGUGUGUGAAGAAGGCCUGCGGGUUGUAAAGCACUUUAGUUAGGGAGGAGUGUUUGAAGGUUAAGAGCUAUCAAGCAGGACGUUACCUAAAGAAUAAGCACCGGCUAACUCCGUAGCCAGCAGCCGCGGUAAAGUG